UACGAAGGUCCCAAGCGUUAUCCGGAUUUAUUGGGUUUAAAGGGUGUGUAGGCGGUUCCUUAAGUUUGCUGUGAAAUCUCCCGGCUUAACCGGGAGGUGCGGUGAAUACUGAGGGACUAGAGUACGGGAGAGGAAAGUGGAAUCCUGGUGUAGCGGUGAAAUGCGCAGAUAUCAGGAGGAACGACCGGUGGCGAAGGCGGGUCUCUGGGCCGAUACUGACGCUGAGGAGCGAAAGCGUGGGGAGCGAACAGG
rnacentral:rRNA from 1 species